rnacentral:rRNA from 1 species
AUUUAAGAGAUCUAACCUGCCCACUGAAUUUUUGAAGGGCCGCGGUAUUUUGACUGUGCAAAGGUAGCAUAAUCAUUAGUCUUUUAAUUAAGGGCUAGUAUGAAUGGUUGAAUGAGGUAAUAACUGUUUUAUAUUUAUUUUAAUUGAAUUUAGAUUUUAAGUAAAAAUACUUAAAUGAUAUUAAGGGACGAGAAGACCCUAUAGAGUUUAAUAAGUGUAGUGGUAAUUGGGUUAAUAAUAGAUUUUUGGUUACUGUGAAUUUUAUUUAGUUGGGGUGAUUAGAAAAUAAAAUUAACUUUUCUUUAGUUUUAAUAUUAUAAUUAGUUAUAAGAUCCAUAAUUAAUGAUUGAAAGAUUUAAUUACCUUAGGGAUAACAGCAUAAUUUUUUUUGAGAGUUCAAAUCGAGAAAAAAGAUUGUGACCUCGAUGUUGGAUUAAGAUUAGCUUUAGGUGAAGAUGUUUAAAGUUUAGGUCU